UGGGGAAUCUUGCGCAAUGGACGAAAGUCUGACGCAGCCACGCCGCGUGAGUGAAGAAGGCCUUCGGGUUGUAAAGCUCUGUCGAGCGGGACGAAAAACGGUGAGGUUAAUAGCCUCAUUGUCUGACGGUACCGCUAAAGGAAGCACCGGCUAACUCCGUGCCAGCAGCCGCGGUAAUACGGAGGGUGCAAGCGUUGCUCGGAAUUAUUGGGCGUAAAGGGUAGGUAGGUGGUCUCAUUUGUCUGGGGUGAAAGCCUUGAGCUUAACUCAAGAAGUGCCCCAGAAACGGUGAGACUAGAGUCCUGGAGAGGGUCGUGGAAUUCCCGGUGUAGCGGUGAAAUGCGUAGAGAUCGGGAGGAACACCAGAGGCGAAGGCGGCGACCUGGACAGGUACUGACACUCAACUACGAAAGCGCGGGGAGCAAACAG
rnacentral:rRNA from 1 species